rnacentral:rRNA from 1 species
AGCGAACGCUGGCGGCAUGCCUAACACAUGCAAGUCGAACGAGACCUUCGGGUCUAGUGGCGCACGGGUGCGUAACGCGUGGGAACCUGCCCUUAGGUUCGGAAUAACUCCCCGAAAGGGGUGCUAAUACCGGAUAAUGUCUUCGGACCAAAGAUUUAUCGCCUUUGGAUGGGCCCGCGUUGGAUUAGCUAGUUGGUAGGGUAAAAGCCUACCAAGGCGACGAUCCAUAGCUGGUCUGAGAGGAUGAUCAGCCACACUGGGACUGAGACACGGCCCAGACUCCUACGGGAGGCAGCAGUGGGGAAUAUUGGACAAUGGGCGAAAGCCUGAUCCAGCAAUGCCGCGUGAGUGAUGAAGGCCUUAGGGUUGUAAAGCUCUUUACCCGGGAUGAUAAUGACAGUACCGGGAGAAUAAGCUCCGGCUAACUCCGUG